UACGUAGGGGGCAAGCGUUGUCCGGAUUUAUUGGGCGUAAAGAGCGUGUAGGCGGCCAGGUAGGUCUGCUGUGAAAACUCGAGGCUUAACCUCGAGCUGUCGGCGGAAACCAUCUGGCUAGAGUCCGGAAGAGGAGAAUGGAAUUCCCGGUGUAGCGGUGAAAUGCACAGAUAUCGGGAAGAACACCCGUGGCGAAGGCGGUUCUCUGGGACGGUACUGACGCUGGAGACGCGAAAGCGUGGGGAGCGAACAGG
rnacentral:rRNA from 1 species